GGGCCUUUAGCUCAGUAGGUUAGAGCAUUCGCCUCAUAAGCGACAGGUCGCGGGUUCGAGUCCCUCAAGGCCCA
rnacentral:tRNA from 1 species